rnacentral:rRNA from 1 species
UUUUAACGCUGAGGUGUGAUGACGAGGCACUACGGUGCUGAAGUAACAAAUGCCCUGCUUCCAGGAAAAGCCUCUAAGCAUCAGGUAACAUUAAAUCGUACCCCAAACCGACACAGGUGGUCAGGUAGAGAAUACCAAGGCGCUUGAGAGAACUCGGGUGAAGGAACUAGGCAAAAUGGUGCCGUAACUUCGGGAGAAGGCACGCUGAUAUGUAGGUGAAGCCCCUGCGGGUGGAGCUGAAAUCAGUCGAAGAUACCAGCUGGCUGCAACUGUUUAUUAAAAACACAGCACUGUGCAAACACGAAAGUGGACGUAUACGGUGUGACGCCUGCCCGGUGCCGGAAGGUUAAUUGAUGGGGUUAUCCGUAAGGAGAAGCUCUUGAUCGAAGCCCCGGUAAACGGCGGCCGUAACUAUAACGGUCCUAAGGUAGCGAAAUUCCUUGUCGGGUAAGUUCCGACCUGCACGAAUGGCGUAAUGAUGGCCAGGCUGUCUCCACCCGAGACUCAGUGAAAUUGAACUCGCUGUGAAGAUGCAGUGUACCCGCGGCAAGACGGAAAGACCCCGUGAACCUUUACUAUAGCUUGACACUGAACAUUGAGCCUUGAUGUGUAGGAUAGGUGGGAGGCUUUGAAGCGUGGACGCCAGUCUGCGUGGAGCCAACCUUGAAAUACCACCCUUUAAUGUUUGAUGUUCUAACGUUGGCCCCUUAUCGGGGUUGCGGACAGUGUCUGGUGGGUAGUUUGACUGGGGCGGUCUCCUCCCAAAGAGUAACGGAGGAGCACGAAGGUUAGCUAAUCCUGGUCGGACAUCAGGAGGUUAGUGCAAUGGCAUAAGCUAGCUUGACUGCGAGCGUGACGGCGCGAGCAGGUGCGAAAGCAGGUCAUAGUGAUCCGGUGGUUCUGAAUGGAAGGGCCAUCGCUCAACGGAUAAAAGGUACUCCGGGGAUAACAGGCUGAUACCGCCCAAGAGUUCAUAUCGACGGCGGUGUUUGGCACCUCGAUGUCGGCUCAUCACAUCCUGGGGCUGAAGUAGGUCCCAAGGGUAUGGCUGUUCGCCAUUUAAAGUGGUACGCGAGCUGGGUUUAGAACGUCGUGAGACAGUUCGGUCCCUAUCUGCCGUGGGCGCUGGAGAAUUGAGGGGGGCUGCUCCUAGUACGAGAGGACCGGAGUGGACGCAUCACUGGUGUUCGGGUUGUCAUGCCAAUGGCAUUGCCCGGUAGCUAAAUGCGGAAGAGAUAAGUGCUGAAAGCAUCUAAGCACGAAACUUGCCCCGAGAUGAGUUCUCCCUGACUCCUUGAGAGUCCUGAAGGAACGUUAAAGACGAUGACGUUGAUAGGUCGGGUGUGUAAGCGUAGCGAUAUGUUGAGCUAACCGAUACUAAUGAACCGUGAGGCUUAACC